GAUGAACGCUAGCUACAGGCUUAACACAUGCAAGUCGAGGGGAAACGAUGAGAGAGCUUGCUCUCUUAGGCGUCGACCGGCGCACGGGUGAGUAACGCGUAUCCAACCUACCCAUUACAGGGGGAUAACCUUGCGAAAGUAAGACUAAUACCCCAUGGCAUUUUAUGGUGGCAUCAUUAUAGGAUUAAAGAUUUAUUGGUAAUGGAUGGGGAUGCGUCUGAUUAGCUUGUUGGCGGGGUAACGGCCCACCAAGGCAACGAUCAGUAGGGGUUCUGAGAGGAAGGUCCCCCACAUUGGAACUGAGACACGGUCCAAACUCCUACGGGAGGCAGCAGUGAGGAAUAUUGGUCAAUGGGCGAGAGCUUGAACCAGCCAAGUAGCGUGCAGGAGGACGGCCCUAUGGGCUGUAAACUGCUUUUAUAGGGGAAUAAAGUGAGCUACGUGUAGUUUAUUGCAUGUACCCUAUGAAUAAGAACCGGCUAAUUCCGUG
rnacentral:rRNA from 1 species